UGAUGGUUCAGGUCAAAUCCAAAGGCA
rnacentral:piRNA from 1 species